GCUAUUUUGACAGAAAAAUGUGAUGGUUUUAGAAGUCAUUAAUAUAUAAUUAAAUUAUAUAGAUAGUA
rnacentral:tRNA from 1 species